rnacentral:rRNA from 1 species
UCGAGCGGUAACAGAUCUAGCUUGCUAGAUGCUGACGAGCGGCGGACGGGUGAGUAAUGCAUAGGAAUCUGCCCGAUAGUGGGGGAUAACCUGGGGAAACCCAGGCUAAUACCGCAUACGUCCUACGGGAGAAAGGGGGCUUCGGCUCCCGCUAUUGGAUGAGCCUAUGUCGGAUUAGCUAGUUGGUAAGGUAAUGGCUUACCAAGGCAACGAUCCGUAGCUGGUCUGAGAGGAUGAUCAGCCACAUCGGGACUGAGACACGGCCCGAACUCCUACGGGAGGCAGCAGUGGGGAAUAUUGGACAAUGGGGGCAACCCUGAUCCAGCCAUGCCGCGUGUGUGAAGAAGGCCCUCGGGUUGUAAAGCACUUUCAGCGAGGAAGAACGCCUGGCGGUUAAUACCCACCAGGAAAGACAUCACUCGCAGAAGAAGCACCGGCUAACUCCGUGCCAGCAGCCGCGGUAAUACGGAGGGUGCAAGCGUUAAUCGGAAUUACUGGGCGUAAAGCGCGCGUAGGUGGCUUGAUAAGCCGGUUGUGAAAGCCCCGGGCUCAACCUGGGAACGGCAUCCGGAACUGUCAGGCUAGAGUGCAGGAGAGGAAGGUAGAAUUCCCGGUGUAGCGGUGAAAUGCGUAGAGAUCGGGAGGAAUACCAGUGGCGAAGGCGGCCUUCUGGACUGACACUGACACUGAGGUGCGAAAGCGUGGGUAGCAAACAGGAUUAGAUACCCUGGUAGUCCACGCCGUAAACGAUGUCGACCAGCCGUUGGGGUGCCUAGAGCACUUUGUGGCGAAGUUAACGCGAUAAGUCGA